GGGCGAUUAGCUCAGGGGUAGAGCACUUCCUUCACACGGAAGGGGUCGCUGGUUCAAAUCCAGCAUCGCCCACCA
rnacentral:tRNA from 3 species